ACAGCAGUAGCCACGGUAAUACGGAGGGGGCUAGCGUUGUUCGGAAUUACUGGGCGUAAAGCGCACGUAGGCUGCUUUGUAAGUUAGAGGUGAAAGCCUGGUGCUCAACACCAGAACUGCCUUUAAGACUGCAGAGCUAGAACGUCGGAGAGGUGAGUGGAAUUCCGAGUGUAGAGGUGAAAUUCGUAGAUAUUCGGAAGAACACCAGUGGCGAAGGCGGCUCACUGGACGACUGUUGACGCUGAGGUGCGAAAGCGUGGGGAGCAAACAGGAUUAGAUACCCCGGUAGUCCCUGUCUCUUAUAC
rnacentral:rRNA from 1 species